AGCGAACGCUGGCGGCAGGCCUAACACAUGCAAGUCGAACGCCCCUUCGGGGGAGUGGCGGACGGGUGAGUAACACGUGGGAACGUACCUUUUGGUUCGGAACAACUGAGGGAAACUUCAGCUAAUACCGGAUAAGCCCUUUUGGAGAAAGAUUUAUCGCCGAAAGAUCGGCCCGCGUUGGAUUAGGUAGUUGGUGGGGUAAAGGCCUACCAAGCCUACGAUCCAUAGCUGGUCUGAGAGGAUGAUCAGCCACACUGGGGCUGAGACACGGCCCAGACUCCUACGGGAGGCAGCAGUGGGAAAUCUUGCGCAAUGGUCGAAAGACUGACACAGCCAUGCCGCGUGAAUGAUGAAGGUCUUAGGAUUGUAAAAUUCUUUUACCGGUGACGAUAAUGACGGUAACCGGAGAAAAAGGCCCGGCUAACUUCGUGCCAGCCGCCGCGGUAA
rnacentral:rRNA from 1 species